rnacentral:rRNA from 1 species
AUUGAACGCUGGCGGCAGGCCUAACACAUGCAAGUCGAACGCGUGGCGGGCGGGUGAGUGAUGUGUGGGAAACUCCGCGAGGGAGGGGGGGAACACCUGUAGACGGUAGCUAAAAUCCCAUACCAUCGCAGGUGACCACAUGGGGGUAGCUAGUAGGUGGGGUAACGGCUCACCUAGGCGACGAUCCCUAGCUGGUCUGAGAGGAUGACCAGCCACACUGGAACUGAGACACGGUCCAGACGCCUACGGGAGGCAGCAGUGGGGAAUAUUGCACAAUGGGCGCAAGCCUGAUGCAGCCAUGCCGCGUGUAUGAAGAAGGCCUUCGGGUUGUAAAGUACUUUCAGCGGGGAGGCGUUACCCGCAGAAGAAGCACCGGCUAACUCCGUGCCAGCCGCCGCGGUAAUUC